AGGCUGGUCAGAGCCCCGAUCUUCCAGAUUGAGGGCCUUACCCAGAAGCUGGACCCCAAGGAGAUGAAACGGAAGAUGCACGAGGAUAUGAUCUCCUCCAUACGGAACUUUCUCAUCUACGCGGCCCUGCUGCGAGUCACUCCAUUUAUCUUAAAGAAAUUGGACAGCAUAUGAAGAUUGGACAUCACAUGUGAAUGCAUGAUAUGAGGAAUCUGGUUACAGUUUCUACUGCCCUCUGCAAGUAAAUAGGCCCAGAAAGGUGUAAGAGACUCUUUGAAUGGACAUAAAAAUUCUGCUUGUUAAGAACAAGUUUGGCUCUGGUAACUGAUCAUAAUAGCUAAAACAUAAAAAUAUUUGAGAAGUCUGAAACAAGGCCUCCUGGUCAUGGUGUGCCCUUAUGCCUGUGACAUUUGGCCUCUGUGAAUAUUGAUAUAAUUGUAGAUAAUGUCAAACUCCAUUUUCUAGCAAGUAUUAAUAAUUAAAGGAAGUAUGUCUGAAAUGGC